rnacentral:ncRNA from 2 species
AUCUUAUCAAGAGCAGGUGGAGGGACUAGCCCUAUGAAACCCGGCAACCGGCGGCAACAUCGCACGGUGCUAAUUCUUGCAGGAUAUACGCUCGCUUAUCAUGAGCCGCGUAUAGUCUGACAGAUGAGAG